rnacentral:lncRNA from 1 species
CGCGGGACUGUUCCAUUCCUGUCGGCUGCAGGGGCAGGAGAGGAAGGGACGGGCCGAGCGGGUCGGGGCUUGCCGUUUGACUGGAAUUGCCAGAAUGGCGGACCGAGCCCCACGACAACCUACCUCCCUGGGCUCCUCGCCGCAGCGCUGCGGCUCGCCUCCCUCUGCUCCUCCUCCUCCGCCGGAUCGCGGCGAGCGGAUCGAGGACUGCCUAGCGCCCCUCUGCCCACCGGUGGUUGGAGGCCGCGGCGGCUGCGCGUUGAGUCGUUUCCUGCCGGUUGACCUGAGCCUACUUCGCAGUAGCAGGACCGCUGCUGUGGAGCUGGUCGCAGGCGGUGUGUGCCGGUCGCCUAGUCAGGAGAACUAGUCCUCGACUCACGGUGAGGGAAUGGACCGACACGGGUAUUGUACCGCUGAGGGAAAGGAGCGGGACUCCGGACCUCCAGGAGGUAGGGAGUGAGGCCAGUAGGACCGGCGCGCCUCCGGGGGGAUUCCUCCCGGGCGUUGAGUUGCCAACCUGGGACCCGAGGAAGAUCGGCGUGGUGGUGUGCUUUUUGUUGUUGUUAACCCUCCUCGGAUUUCUCGAAUUUCACACCACUGUCCAUAUGCGAUGAUGUUUGUUUGCCCUUGACGCACUUACUCAUGGAUGGUACUUCUUCAGCCUCGUUAGACAGCCUGGUGAUGGAGGAUGAAGAAACCAUGUGCUUUUCAUUCAGUUCUGGACUUAGUCUCCCUUUUCUUCCUUCAGCAAGUUAUUUUUGUUAGUUCCUUAUCAAAAAGUGUACAUAAAAAUUAGGCAACUCCAAACAUGCCUCCAGGGUUAAUGUGUGAAAUAAUAAGAUAAUAUAUGUAAAGUGGAAUUAGCUCCUAGGCAUAGGGAAAGUGCAGAAUAUUGCCGUGUUGUCAUUUACAGUUCUGUUGAUGUCGAUAACGUUUGUGGGUGUAAUUGGUAGUGUUCUGUCCCUCCAAGGAGUUAAUAAAACAAAGCAAACAUAGGCCUGUUAGGUUUCUGUGGCUACUGAAUAUUUGUUUCUCAAAACACUUGACUGAUAUUUGAUAAUUGAAUGCAGCAGAAAUACGGACGAUUAAAGUCCACAAAUAAUUCCAAAGUUUACUUGAUCUAGUAGUUUUUACCUUUACCUAAAGGGUAAAGCAGAAUAAAUUACCGGAAGGAUCUACUUGGGUUUCCCUUUCCUUCACAUUUGUGGACUCCUGGGGAUCCAGGAAGUAAUUCAGAAAUGACUGUUCAAAAGCCCAUGCAAGGCCGGGCGCGGUGGCUAACGCUUGUAAUCCCAGCGCUUUGGGAGGCCAAGGUGGGCGGAUGACCUGAGGUCAGGAGUUCGAGACCAGCCUGGCCAACAUGGCAAAAUCCCGUCUCUACUAAAAAUACAAAAAUUAGCCAGGCGUGGUGGUGGACGCCUGUAAUCCCAGCUACUCAGGAGACUGAGGCAGGAGAAUCGCUUGAACCUGGGAGGCGGAGAUUGCAGUGAGCCGAGAUGGUGCCAUUGCACUCCAGCCUGGGCAACAAGAGCGAAACUCCAUCUGAGGGAAAAAAAUAAAAAUAAAAAGCCCUUGCAACCUCCAAAAUUCAAGUAGACAGUCCCAAAUUUCCCCUUUAGGAUACGUGGAUUAAGUGUUGUUUACUUGUUUCGUUUCUUUAAGGUAAAGAGGAAAGCAGCCUUAAUUACCUCAUUGUAUAUUUUCCUAACCAAGUCCCACACUUUCAUGGAGCCCACUUGUUUACCGAUCUUUUGUUAGUUGCUUCAUGCGUGCAAGUGUAUUAUGCUACCAAUAACUUGUUUUAUCUGAGAACAGGGACUAUGUCUACUACUUAAUUUACAUAAAGCAUCACAGGCUAGCGCAAAGCAAGUCACAGAAAUAUUGAAAUGAGGCUGGGUGUGGUAGCUCACGCCUGUAAUCCCAGCACUUUGGGAGGCCAAGGCGCAUGGAUCACGAGGUCACAAGUUCAAGACCAGCCUGGCCAACAUAGUGAAACCCCGUCUCUACUAAUAAUACAAAAAAUUAGCCGGGCGUGGUGGUGGGCGCCUGUAAUCCCAGCUACUCGGGAG